AGGUUCUCCGAUCUCUUCCAUUGAGGUUGCCUUUCAUGCAAGAUUAAAACCGUUCAUAACCCUUGGCUCAAGACAGACAGUUAUCUUCGAUCAGGUGAUUACAAAUAUCGGCCAAGCUUAUAACCAACAUACGGGUCAUUUCACAGCACCCUAUGAUGGAAUUUACUUCUUUGCCUGUAUAUUUCUAAGACCAUACAAUGCAACUGUAUUACAUCUUCAAAUGGUCAAAAACAGCAGCGAGAUAUCACGAGGGCACGCAGCAAUUGGAGGCGGAUCGCAGACAGGAGCAAUGAACUCAGUUGUACAUUUGCACAAAGAAGAUGUUGUUAAAGUGCGUCAUUUUCCUGGAUUUGGACCAGAAAUAAUACAUGGCGAUUGGAGCUUCUUCACGGGUUACCGUAUCUAAAACUAAAAAUUUCAAUAUUA
rnacentral:lncRNA from 1 species